rnacentral:lncRNA from 1 species
GUGAAUAAUGUCAUCGUUGAUUUAAUUAGCAAAUUCUAGAUGUGCUGACAAGAGAUUUUCUUGGGAGAUGCACUGGGUUGUGUCAAUGCUCGAAAUGAAUAGGCAGAGCUGAGUUCCUGGUAAUAACGGAUGAACAACACAACUUGCCAAACCUCAAACAGUGCAUAAAUCAAUUUGCUGGGAAUUAACCACUCGCUUCAAAAUUAGGGGUUACUUGACAGGGUUUCAGUGAUUAGGUUGUCAGGGACCCGUAUUUCUAGCUGGGAUUUAUCUAUCAUUGAUAUGAGCGUAUCUCCUCCUGGGCUGCAGAUUGACUUGCAUCGCCAGCUUGCAGGCCGAGCUCAGAGGGUGGGGGCCCUGCCUUCUGGGGGAGCAGAUGACCCUCUGGAGGUCACCCAGGCAGGGAGGAGAGGGGAAAGAUGGGUCAAGGAGAAGAGAGCUCUGCCUUACCACUGAGGCCCAGGGGCUUCCUGGAGAACUGCCAUGGCUGAUGAGAAUGUAUUCAGUUGCCUUCCAGAAAAUCUCCUCCAGCUGGUCCACGUCAUCCAAAUCCUCAGCUCUCACUAAGAGUGGAGGGUGUUUCUUACUGUUGUUUUGUGUCAGACUGUGAAGAGAGAAUAAGAAGAGCUGGGAGAGUGGGCAUUUGGGGAACACAAAUGUGGCGUACUGAUGCUUCACCCAGGUGGUUUUGGACCCUUUUACCACAUAGUUGGCUUUGGUACUUUGCAUUCCUCACUCGGGUGACACUUGGGUGACACCAGCAAAAAAGACAGGGGAAAGUUCAUGCUGAUUUUUGAAUUCUGAGAGCCUAGAAUUCAGUGAACAUUCAGAGAAUAUUCAGUUUUAAAGUGUAUUUGUAAGAAUGGCUGACAAGAAACAGUCGUGCACCCAAUCCUGACAAGAUCAAGAUUCCCUGGGACUUUCGGUUAGGGAGAGAGGAGUGCACAAAUACUCCUUCUUCCGUUAGUGGGUUCCUAACAGAAGAGAUGCUGAGCUCUAUCCUCUUUCUCCUUCACCAUGAACACCUCAUACGGAGCUAACAAAAACCCCAGAAAGGAUUGGGAAAUCUGGGCAUAGAGACAGACCCCUUUCCCAGGUAACCUUUGUGGAAGCACCAAGAGCUUAAAAGUGAGAGUGGAUAUAGGGAUCUCAGGGCAGAGGGGCCUUAACAGCUGCCCAGAGCUUCCCACGGCCAAGCAAUGGGCAGUAGUGGCAGAAAAAUUCUCUGUAUUCUCUGUGUGGAGGUGGGUAAGAGCUUGUAGAGCAGGAAUGGGGCUGAAGAGUCCCUGAUCCAGUAACUGGCUCCCCCGCCAGAGGAGAAGUCUUUGCUGCUGGGAGUCUCUGCUGAUGUCAGAAUGGAUGGCCCUGACAUGUGACAUCAUCAUCUAGAACUGGGGAAGGAUGAGCAUCCUGACUUUCCUGGAAGUGUGCUCCCACCAUCAGGUAAAAUUAACAUGUGAGCUUCUAGACACAAACAAAAUGAAUGUCCACUGCCACUAACAACUCUGAGGGUCCUGUACUUCUGUGGACACACACACACAGACUCAACAAAAAGUUACACAGGGUCUAUCUAAUCAUCCAUCAAUCAUCUGUUAAUUUACCUAUAGUAUCUAUCAUUUGUCUACAACUUCCUUUAUUCACUUGAGGUGGCAAAGAGAUCUUUCAUCUAAGUACAGCUCAGUCUCAUUCUCUUUAGAAGCUAUAUAACAUUCAGCUUAAUGGUGGCACUACAGUUGAUUUAACUGUUCCCUUAUUGAUGGCAAUUUGGUUGUUUACAGAUUUUAAUGAGAAGAUGGCAUUCCAUUUUAUGAACUUACCGUAAUUGCUGAACGCAUUCUCUUACUGGUAGAUCCUAGGCUGCAGACAAUGUUUCCUGUUACAGGACUCCCUCAGAAUCCCUGUCCAUAUACCUUUAUAAUGUUUUUAUUUUAUUUUUCUUUAGAUUCAUUAAAGUGAGAUGGCAUGGCCAAAGGGUAGGCAAAUAUAUUUUAUUACAUAAUUCCAAAUUGCUCCCAAAAUGUUUGUAGCAGUUGGUUUUUCCUGCCAACAAUUAGGAAGCUGCCUGUUUUUUCACAGCCUCGACAGCAAUCAAUGUGAACAAUAUAUGACUUGUUAACAAUCAGAUUUGGCAAAAUCUAUUUCGUUGCUACUCACUUCCUCAUUCCUUUAAUCAAUACUGUGGUUGAGCAUCUUUUCACAGAUGUAUUUGCCAUUCAUACCUCAUUUUUGCCUAUACGUAUUCUUUAUCCCUUUAGCGUAUUGUCUGUCAUUUUCUUUCAAUGAGUUGGAUUUCUCUAAAUACGGGGUAUUAACAGUCAGUUGUAAAUGUUUUCCCUCCCUUGUUUGUCACUUGUGUUUUAGUUUUGUCUAGUCUUGUUCUUAUUAGGAAAACAUUAGUCAUUUUGUUCCUGACCCUUCACUGCAAGGCCACAAAAAUGUUCCUUCAUAUUUUCUUCCAGAAUUCUUUUGGUUUUUAUUUUUUACACUUAGGUCUUUGAUUUAACAUAAAUUUAUUUUUGUGAUAUAAGGUAGGGAUCUUCCUUUUAUUUUUUUUCCAAAUGCAUAGUCAAUUGUUCUCAUUCAACAUGUUUUAAAAAACUACCCUUUCCCACUUAUUUUAAAUGCUGCUUUUAUGAUAGAUUAGAGACCCAUGUGUACUUAAAUUGGCUUCUGUACCGCUUUUUCUGUUCCACUGGUGGAUUUGCCCGGUGUCAAACUCUUAACUUAUAUUUUCAUCAUCCUUGCUGUAAGUUGGGAGGCUUUUCAACCCCUGGAGUUUCUGGGAGCCAGAAACGACGCAUUGCUUCUUAUGUUCCACAGGGGCAGAGCGCACUGCUGAACACAGAGCUUCCUUUAGGAGAAAAUUUGGAUUUUCACACAUUCAAAAAGAAAUUAUGAAACUAAUUAGCUAAAACUCAAGGUUAUAAAAUCACUGCUAAUGGGCAGAAAGGCCUCUCCAGAAUUUAAAUUCUUCCUGGUGCUCCUCCUGUGCAUUUACGUGCAGAUAGCAUCCUCCCAGGGCUGGGAGAAGCGCCUCCAGGAGAGCUUAGUUUACCUUCCAGGUUCUGGGGUACGCAGCCCUUCCAGUUACCGUCUCAAGCAAGGGAGCACCUGCCUCAGGAAGAGCGGCUCCCGUGAAAUCUUCAGAUCUUAAAGGGCACUGGUAAACGUCACAGUCUCCCAGCAGGAGAGUAGAGACAGCCAGUAGGUAUAAAUCUCAGGCAGCCAAUGGUUGGCAUCCAUAAGCCUUACCUUGUAAAUAAUUCACUUCAGUGCAGGAAAUCUGCAUACGAGCAUGAAAUGUCAUUUAUAACUCACAGGACACUGGCUUGGCUGGGAACAACUUUCCAGUCUCUUCGACUCAUUAAGUGCUGCUAAGGAAGAGAGAAUGCAGCUGAUGUAGAAUAAACCCCCUGCAGUAAGCCUGUGACUGUACAGACUAGUUAGCAGUACUCAAACUGAAAAUAAAACUCAUGACCAUGCGGGCAUCAUCACUCCGCUCUCUAAGCUCAGCGUCUCUCCAGGGUUAGCUUGGCUCUACCUCAUUUUCCAAGCUGCUUCCAGGCCUGCCCUUCACUGAAACCCCGAGCAGACCAGGAGAAAGGUUGGCUGUGGUGCUUUCUCGUGAAGUGAUGCGCGUUCACUGGCUGCAAAGAGAAUAUAUAAUGUUCCAAUUAAGAGCUUAUCGCCCUGAAAUUCUGGAAU